rnacentral:rRNA from 1 species
UACGGAGGGUGCAAGCGUUGUCCGGAAUCACUGGGCGUAAAGGGCGCGUAGGCGGCCUGGUAAGUAGGGGGUGAAAUCCUGCGGCUUAACCGCAGGGCUGCCUUCUAAACUGUCAGGCUUGAGCACGGUAGAGGCAGAUGGAAUUCCCGGUGUAGCGGUGGAAUGCGCAGAUAUCAGGAGGAACACCGAUGGCGAAGGCAGGUCUCUGGGCAUUAACUGACGCUGAGGAGCGAAAGCAUGGGGAGCGAACAGG